rnacentral:rRNA from 1 species
UGCGUAGGUGGGCAGGUAAGUCAGUGGUGAAAUCUCCGGGCUUAACCCGGAAACUGCCGUUGAUACUAUCUGUCUUGAAUGUAGUGGAGGUGAGCGGAAUAUGUCAUGUAGCGGUGAAAUGCUUAGAUAUGACAUAGAACACCCAUUGCGAAGGCAGCUCGCUACACUAUUAUUGACACUGAGGCACGAAAGCGUGGGGAUCAAACAGGAUUAGAUACCCUGGUAGUCCACGCCCUAAACGAUGGAUACUCGACAUCAGCGAUACACAGUUGGUGUCUGAGCGAAAGCAUUAAGUAUCCCACCUGGGAAGUACGACCGCAAGGUUGAA